CCGGAUUAAUACCGCAUACUAUCUACGGAUGAAAGCGGGGGACCUUCGGGCCUCGCGCUAUAGGGUUGGCCGAUGGCUGAUUAGCUAGUUGGUGGGGUAAAGGCCUACCAAGGCGACGAUCAGUAGCUGGUCUGAGAGGACGACCAGCCACACUGGGACUGAGACACGGCCCAGACUCCUACGGGAGGCAGCAGUGGGGAAUUUUGGACAAUGGGCGAAAGCCUGAUCCAGCAAUGCCGCGUGUGUGAAGAAGGCCUUCGGGUUGUAAAGCACUUUUGUCCGGAAAGAAAUCCUUGGUUCUAAUAUAGCCGGGGGAUGACGGUACCGGAAGAAUAAGCACCGGCUAACUACGUGCCAGCAGCCGCGGUAAUACGUAGGGUGCGAGCGUUAAUCGGAAUUACUGGGCGUAAAGCGUGCGCAGGCGGUUUGCUAAGACCGAUGUGAAAUCCCCGGGCUCAACCUGGGAACUGCAUUGGUGACUGGCAGGCUAGAGUAUGGCAGAGGGGGGUAGAAUUCCACGUGUAGCAGUGAAAUGCGUAGAGAUGUGGAGGAAUACCGAUGGCGAAGGCAGCCCCCUGGGCCAAUACUGACGCUCAUG
rnacentral:rRNA from 1 species